GUCCUCCUGCUCCUCCCAUUCUUCCCUCCUCCACAGCCCACCCUGCCUCUCCUCUGCCCAGCCUCCUGACACACUCCCCUGUUCUGACCCACUUGUACUCUGAAAGAGAGGAACAGAUAAGAGGGAUCAGGGAUCAAGGGAUGACAUGGCUGGAGGUGGAGACGUGUGGUAGGAGGGAGGAGGUGGAGACGUGUGGUAGGAGGUGGAGACGUGUGGUAGGAGGUGGAGACGUGUGGUAGGAGGGAGGAGGUGGAGACGUGUGGUAGGAGGUGGAGACGUGUGGUAGGAGGUGGAGACGUGUGGUAGGAGGGAGGAGGUGGAGACGUGUGGUAGGAGGUGGAGACGUGUGGUAGGUGGGAGGAUGUGCAGACGUGGGGUAGGAGGGAGGAGGUGGAGACGUGUGGUAGGAGGGAGGAUGUGCAGA
ensembl:lncRNA